AACGAACGCUGGCGGCAGGCUUAACACAUGCAAGUCGAGCGCCCCGCAAGGGGAACGGCAGACGGGUGAGUAACGCGUGGGAAUCUACCCAUCUCUACGGAAUAACGCAUGGAAACGUGUGCUGAUACCGUAUACGUCCUUCGGGAGAAAGAUUUAUCGGAGAUGGAUGAGCCCGCGUUGGAUUAGCUAGUUGGUGGGGUAAAGGCCUACCAAGGCGACGAUCCAUAGCUGGUCUGAGAGGAUGAUCAGCCACACUGGCACUGAGACACGGCCCAGACUCCUACGGGAGGCAGCAGUGGGGAAUAUUGGACAAUGGGCGCGAGCCUGAUCCAGCCAUGCCGCGUGAGUGAUGAAGGCCCUAGGGUUGUAAAGCUCUUUCACCGGUGAAGAUAAUGACGGUAACCGGAGAAGAAGCCCCGGCUAACUUCGUGCCAGCCGCCGCCGUAAUAC
rnacentral:rRNA from 1 species